ACUUGUUUACAGACUCUAACAGCAGUGCACACCCAGGGCCACCUGGAAGGUGGAACCCAGAGGCCAGGACUCUAUGAGAAAGGACACGGAGGCCAGGCCAACGCCACCCAGCCUCACUGGAAGAUGAGGGGCGUCCCAUGAGUAUAGACUGGAACAUGGGCGUCCCACUCACCUGCCGCGCGUCUCUUCCUCUCUGAGCCUCUGUUCCACAAGGUGAGAACACUGAAACUUCCACUCUCGCGGAACAAAAUUCCUGCCGUCUAAGUGAAAUUUGCAAUCUUUGACCAACCUUUCCCUAAUCCCGUAAACAAAUUUUAAGAAAAAGACAAUCAGAGAAAUUGACCAUAUUAGAAAAUCAUUCAUUGUUUAAGGUGUGGAAAAGAGUAUCUUUUGGAGACACUUGCUGAAGUAUUUAUGGAUGAAAUCAUACAAUGUCUGGCAUCUGCCUGGAAGUAAUUCAGGCCUGGGGUCUCGAUGGAACACAGCUAGGAACGGAUAAUCACUGCAGUUAAGGGAUGAUUUGUUAUCCCAUCCAAUCUGCCUUUAAAAUUUCCAAAACAAUUGUAAUAAAAGCUGCUGUAGGAACAGUGAAAAUAUAGAGGGUGGAUAUACAA